CCUAAGGGGGGCAGCAGUGAGGAAUAUUGGUCAAUGGCCGGAAGGCUGAACCAGCCAUGCCGCGUGAAGGUCAGUGCCCUAUGGGCGUUAAACUUCUUUUGUGCGGGAGCAAUAAUGGUCACGUGUGGCCAGACGAGAGUACCGUACGAAUAAGCAUCGGCUAACUCCGUGCCAGCAGCCGCGGUAAUACGGGGGAUGCAAGCGUUAUCCGGAUUUAUUGGGUUUAAAGGGUGCGUAGGCUGUGAGGUAAGUCAGCGGUGAAAUGCCCCCGCUCAACGGGGUGAAGUGCCAUUGAUACUGCCUUGCUGGAAUGCGGAUGCCGUGGGAGGAGUGUGUGGUGUAGCGGUGAAAUGCAUAGAUAUCACACAGAACACCGAUUGCGAAGGCAUCUCACGAAUCCGCGAUUGACGCUGAUGCACGAAAGCGUGGGUAUCAAACAGGAUUAGAUACCCUUGUAGUC
rnacentral:rRNA from 1 species